UGCAGUAGAACGCUGAAGGAGGAGCUUGCUUCUCUGGAUGAGUUGCGAACGGGUGAGUAACGCGUAGGUAACCUGCCUGGUAGCGGGGGAUAACUAUUGGAAACGAUAGCUAAUACCGCAUAAGAGUAGAUGUUGCAUGACAUUUGCUUAAAAGGUGCAAUUGCAUCACUACCAGAUGGACCUGCGUUGUAUUAGCUAGUUGGUGGGGUAACGGCUCACCAAGGCGACGAUACAUAGCCGACCUGAGAGGGUGAUCGGCCACACUGGGACUGAGACACGGCCCAGACUCCUACGGGAGGCAGCAGUAGGGAAUCUUCGGCAAUGGACGGAAGUCUGACCGAGCAACGCCGCGUGAGUGAAGAAGGCCUUCGGGUUGUAAAGC
rnacentral:rRNA from 1 species